AUUGAACGCUGGCGGCAGGCCUAACACAUGCAAGUCGGACGGUAGCACAGAGGAGCUUGCUCCUCGGGUGACGAGUGGCGGACGGGUGAGUAAUGUCUGGGGAUCUGCCCGAUAGAGGGGGAUAACCACUGGAAACGGUGGCUAAUACCGCAUAACAUCGCAAGACCAAAGAGGGGGACCUUCGGGCCUCUCACUAUCGGAUGAACCCAGAUGGGAUUAGCUAGUAGGCGGGGUAACGGCCCACCUAGGCGACGAUCCCUAGCUGGUCCGAGAGGAUGACCAGCCACACUGGAACUGAGACACGGUCCAGACUCCUACGGGAGGCAGCAGUGGGGAAUAUUGCACAAUGGGCGCAAGCCUGAUGCAGCCAUGCCGCGUGUAUGAAGAAGGCCUUCGGGUUGUAAAGUACUUUCAGCGGGGAGGAAGGCGAUAAGGUUAAUAACCUUGUCGAUUGACGUUACCCGCAGAAGAAGCACCGGCUAACUCCGUGCCAGCAGCCGCCGUAA
rnacentral:rRNA from 1 species